CUGCUCCAGCCAGCCACCACCCAGCUCAUGCUGUCAGUUUCCUCCUUGAUUCCUGUCCUGGGUCAUCCUGCCUGACCAGAAGAAAGCCAAAAGCAAAGGGGACCCGUCACAUCGUGUGUAUUCCUGUAGGACACUGGGCUGAAGGUAGAAGAGGAAAGAUCCAGACACUAAUCCAGGCAAGGUGCUUCAUGUGGAAAAGAAAGCAGGUACCCAGGUGCAUGCCCAAGCCCAACCACACUGAAGGAAGCUUUCGUGCCGUGGUCUCUUCCACUUGCUCUGCCUUUCUCCCUUUUUAUCUCUGUCUGAAUGAAGAAGGAGAAGGAGAAGAAGAAAAGAAUUUCAGGAUGGCAGCAGCAGAAUAUUAAACCAAACACAAGACUCUUCUGA